CUAUAUAAUUUUAUUUUUAGCUGGCUUAUGUAGCAUCCCAGGAAACUUUAAAGGAAGCUACACUAAACGGACCGUCCGGGCCGACAUUAGACGAAGAAUCAUUGACACCACCAGCUCCGUUAACGUUGAGCGGUGAUGGUUACAAGCAGGUGAAAAAGUUGUGCAUGGUCAGCCCCGGAAGUAACAACUACUGUGUGCAACAGAUGAAAGGGCUAUAAACAAAAAAUUUAAAAUUCCGUCCAAUUUUUCGACAAUAUGAAAUUGAAACAGUAAACAUAUGUUGACCAAA